UACCUAUUGAUUAUUUAAUAUGGCAAUGUCUGCCCAAUGAAAAAUUAAAUGGCCGCAGUAUCCUAACUGUGCAAAGGUAGCAUAAUAAUUUGUCUAUUAAUUGUAGAAUAGAAUAAACGACUCCACAAAAAAUUUACUGUCUCCUAAAUAUUUAUUAACUUAACAUAAUAGUUAAAAGGCUAUUAUUGUCUAGAGGGACGAUAAGACCCUAAAAACUUUAUUCUUAGAUUUUAUUUUAAGAGUAAUUAAAAAUUAAAAGAAUUUGACUGGGGCGGUAAUUUAUUUAAACAUAAAUUUAAAAAACGUAGUGGACGAAUAUUUUAUAAAUAUUUAACUCUAAAAGAAAUUUAAAAUAAGUUACUUUAGGGAUAACAGCGUUAUUCUUUUUUAGAGUCCCUAUCGACAAAAGAGAUUACGACCUCCAUGUCGAAUUGAAUAUUCUAAAUUAAGUAGCAAUAAUUUUUAGAAAGUCUGUUCGACUUUUAAUAAUUC
rnacentral:rRNA from 1 species